AGAGUUCAGUCCUAUGCGGGUAUCACACGACUGAUUUAUCACUCUUCACCUUUACAUCCAAAGAUCCAAAAACCCACAAUUCCGCGCAGAUCUUUUACUAUGUUCACCAUUUCUUAACUCAAUUGCGCAACGCUUUUUUGACACUACCUUGCAGCUGGAAUUUUACGAACAUGUGAAAUUUGUUUUCCCAUUGAAAAAAAGCAAAAAAAAAAAAAAUAUCAGUGACUCGAACUAUAUACCCCAAACUCGACAGUGUUACCUACACUUGGAUAAAAAAUGGCUCGAACGAUCCAAAUCGUUUUUCUUAUACUCCCGGCGAUAUGGAUGCAAGUAUCUGGAUCAUGUUUUUACGUUGACAGAGAGGAUUUGCUCGCAUAUUCUUGCAGUGGAGGCCACGUUGCUGAUUUGAAUGGAAUUCCCGAAGGAGUUGAACAACUGCACAUCUCGAGAAUGCAAAUUCCGAUAAUUACUCCGCACACCUUCUCGCGUUUCAGAGAGAGUCUUCUGGUCCUCAAGUGUUCCGAGUGCGAGAUUAAUGACAUUGAGCCAAACUCGUUCAGUCACCUGCCCUAUCUUCAGCAAUUGAGUCUGGACAAUAAUAAACUGACUUCGGUGAAAGCUUCCUGGUUGGAAGGCAUCAAAGAACUGACCUUCCUCGAUCUCACUUACAACCAGAUAGAAGAGAUCGAAGACGAGGCUUUCGAGUACCUGACUGGUGUCACUGAUCUCCGACUCUCUGGCAAUCGACUCAAGUGUCUGAAUAUUGACGCCUUGGCUCACAUGGAGAAUUUAAACAGGAUAUUCCUGAGCGAGAAUCCGGACUUUCAGUGUCCCAAUGCCGUCACCAAGUACUUAGCGGGUCGACAGGUCACUCUGCAGAAAGAUGACACCUGGAACGCAAUCGCUCAUGAUCUUGUUUCAGCGAGUGGAGCUGGUCAGAAAGAUUGGCGGAAUAGAAGACCCAGUUUUCAUCCCACUACCACCCCUUUUUGGGAAAAAUUAACUGAUGCCAGGAGACUCCCAACCACCGAAUCUCAAUGGUCCAUUUAUCUCUCGAGUUUAGAAACUAAAUCCCUAUGGCCUGCGACUACCGAAGCUGAUGUCGCUCGUCAGGAUGUGGUUCCUAAUCGAGGCAGCAGCAAAUAUACUUCCCAAUCUACUCCGCAAACUUACACGCCUCCGAUGGAAAGAAACUGGAUGACGACUCAAGCACAAACACCUUAUUGGUCUUCCGAAAGCACCACGGAAUACAUUCCAAGGUCAAGACAUCUAGACACAAAUGAUCCUACUUAUCCAACUGAAGACACGUCCAGAACAGUGGAAGUAUCGACUGAAACUGUUUACCCUGGUCCAAAAAGUGGCAAUCAGCAGUCUGUUUUUGUUCCCAGGGUUAUCUAUCCAGAAAUGGUGGAAAAUUAUCGUGAAUUUGAGGAGACCUCGACCCUUUCCAGUGCAGUAAAGUCGGAAACUGACAAGCCAUUGCCAGAUUGUCCGAGUUGUUCAUCGGCUAUUGGGGCAGUGAUGCAAGUCCUUUCCUUAUCGGUCCUUCUCUCAACUUCCAAGAUCAUCCUGGUUGCUGAUGGUCUUUAGUUUGAUGAAAAUGAGAGAACUUAGAUUUUUAAGAGCCUCUAUGUUAGACUGCAUUCUGCACUAUUAGCGAUAGUCAAAAUUUCGGUAUCGCAAGAAUGCACCGCGAGUGAUUUAGACUAAUUUCUAUGUGAUUCCGACAAUCGAUAUAGACCUGGUGCUGAUGGAAUCUGUGGUUUUAUCGCAAACCUGUGCGGGCAUUUAUAGUGAAACCUUAUGAUUCUUUGUGACUAAACUAAACUGUAGCGACACGUUUUUUUAAACGAAACAUCUAAUGAAGAAAAUUAAACCUUUCGAGGUUUUACUGGAAAUCCAAGUUGGAUGGUGGUUUCGAGAUUUGGAGGGACCCAUGCAGUUUAUUCUUGGGCCAAGGAAGCAAAGGAGGCAGAAAGAUUGGAGAAGAUGCUGAAAAUCGAAGACGAGGAGAACGCAGCUACGAACGAUUUGGCCCUCGCCAUUCAAAAUCGUAAUAAGGAC